CUUGGUCAUUUAGAGGAAGUAAAAGUCGUAACAAGGUCUCCGUAGGUGAACCUGCGGAGGGAUCAUUACCGAGUGAGGGCCCCCCGGCCCGACCUCCAACCCUUUGUCGAUUUCUAACUGUUGCCUCGGGGGGCGACCCGGACGUCAGCGCCCGGACGUCCCCCAGAGGACCCAUCAACUCUGCAUCUUUGCGUCGGAGUAUUGAAUACCAAUCAAUCAAAACUUUUAACAACGGAUCUCUUGGUUCUGGCAUCGAUGAAGAACGCAGCGAAAUGCGAUAAGUAAUGUGAAUUGCAGAAUUCAGUGAAUCAUCGAAUCUUUGAACGCACAUUGCGCCCUUUGGCAUUCCGAAGGGCAUGCCCGUUCGAGCGUCAUUACACCAAUCAAGCCUGGCUUGGUAUUGGGCGUCGGGGACCCUCCCCCGCGCCCCCAAUUCGUCGGCUGGACGGUUCGAAUCUCAGCGUUGUGGUCAAUCAAUUCGCUGGCGACGACGACCGGACGCGCCGUUAAACCUCACUACAGGUUGACCUCGGAUCGGGUAGGGAUACCCGCUGAACUUAAGCAUAUCAAUAAGCGGAGGAAAAGAAACCAACAGGGAUUGCCCUAGUAACGGCGAGUGAAGCGGCAACAGCUCAAAUUUGAAAUCUGGCACCCGCCCGAGUUGUAAUUUGUAGAGGAUGCUUCUAGGCAGCGGCCGGUCUAAGUUUCUUGGAACAGGACGUCAUAGAGGGUGAGAAUCCCGUAUGUGACCGGCUGGCACCUUACACGUAGCUCCUUCGACGAGUCGAGUUGUUUGGGAAU
rnacentral:sRNA from 1 species